GUGCGUAACGUGCAUUCUGGCGGUGCCGGGAGCGGGGCGAGGAGGAGGGUGGGUAUGAGGCGGUAGCGGACCGCGGAGUCGAGACCUACCCGAACGACGCGGGCGAGCGGGGCUUUGGACGCCGGUGGAGACGCAGGCGAGGGCUGCUGUAAAAUAUUACAGGCAUACUUUGGAGAUGUUAUGGGUUUGGUUCCACAUCACUGCAAUAAAAUGGAGCCUCGCUCUGUCGCCAAGACUGGAGUUCAGCGGCACGAUCUCGGCUCACUGCAAGCUCCACCUCCGAGGUUCACGCCAUUCUCCUGCCUCAGCCUCCCAAGUAGCUGGGACUACAGGCGCCUGCCACCAUGCCCGGCUAAUUUUUUUUUGUAUUUUUAGUAGAGGCGGGUUUCACCGUGUUAGCCAGGAUGUUCUCUAUCUCCUGACCUCGUGAUCUGCCCGCCUUGACCUCCCAAAGUGCUGGGACUACAGGCGUGAGCCACCGCGCCCGGCCUCGUGUGAUUUUUAACAAAACUUUAAAAUUUGGAAUAAUCAAUAACUUCAAAUCCAUAGGAAGCUAUAAAUAUAGUACAGAGAAGUCCUGUGUAUUCUUCUAGUUUGCUUAAUGGUUACAUCUUACAUAACUAUAAUAUAAUGUGAAACCAGGAAAUUGAUAUUUGUGCAAUGUGUGUGUAUAGUGUCAUGCACAUUUUAUCUCAUAUGUAGAUUCCUGUAGCCACCGCCAUAGUCAAAAUACAGAACUAUUCCAUUACCCUAAAGACUUCCCUCAUGCCCUUUUAGUCACAUCCUGUGUCAGCAGUCCCCAGGGCUGCCCCCAGUUUUUGUAAUUCACUUGAGGCUCUCACAGGACAUAUUUAUUCCUUGC
rnacentral:lncRNA from 1 species